CAACACUUUGAGAGGCCAAGGCAGGUGGAUCACUUGAGCGCAGGAAUUCAAGACCAGCCUGGGCAACAUGGCAAAACCCCAUCUCUACAAAAAGUACAAAAAUUAACCGGGCGUGGUGGUGGGUGCCUGUAGUCCCAGUUACUCCGGAGGCUGACGCAGGAGAAUCGCUUGAACCUGGGAGGCGCAGGUUGCAGUGAGCCGACAUCUCGCCACUGCACUCCAGCCUGGGGGACAGAAUGAGACUCCAACUCAAAAAAAGAAAAAAAGAAAAAGAAAGCCUGGGGAUAUUUACCAGGACCCUUCCUCCUUUUCAGGCCCUAGAUUCUAAGAUCCUGCUUUGCAGAUCUGAAGUGGGACCCAGGAAUCUUUAACAAGCUCUAAGCCUGCCGAGUGCCUGCAAUUGCAGGCACGCGCCGCCACGCCUGACUGGUUUUGGUGGAGACGGGGUUUCGCUGUGUUGGCCGGGCCGGUCUCCAGCCCCUAACCGCGAGUGAUCCGCCAGCCUCGGCCUCCCGAGGUGCCGGGAUUGCAGACGGAGUCUCGUUCACUCAGUGCUCAAUGGUGCCCAGGCUGGAGUGCAGUGGCGUGAUCUCGGCUCACUACAACCUACACCUCCCAGCCACCUGCCUUGGCCUCCCAAAGUGCCGAGAUUGCAGCCUCUGCCCGGCCGCCACCCCGUCUGGGAAGUGAGGAGUGUCUCUGCCUGGCCGCCCAUCAUCUGGGAUGUGAGGAGCCCCUCUGCCUGGCUGCCCAGUCUGGAAAGUGAGGAGCGUCUCCUCCUGGCCGCCAUCCCAUCUAGGAAGUGAGGAGCGCCUCUUCCCAGCCGCCAUCACAUCUAGGAAGUGAGGAGCGUCUCUGCCCGGCCGCCCAUCGUCUGAGAUGUGGGGAGCGCCUCUGCCCUGCCGCCCCGUCUGGGAUGUGAGGAGCGCCUCUGCCCGGCCG
rnacentral:lncRNA from 1 species